AGUCAGAGUCAGUGAAUUUUAAUAACACCAUGUACAUACGUCAGUAAGUAAUGCUGUAUUAUUUGAUGGGUUAUAACCUGAUUUAACUGGCAUCCUGACCGGGUUGUUCUAGUGCCUUCCUUGUUGGCUAUGGACUACCAGCGGUAUGCUCUAGCCCCCCGUCAGCUUUUACUGGGGAAGUGGUUAGAAGACAAAUGGAUGGAUGGAUAUAUUAGCAUUUAAAAGCAAAUCACAAUGCUACUUCAACAUCAUUAAAUUGGAUUUUAAUUAGUCUUGGUUUAAUUUUAGAUGGUCUACCUUAGUUAAUGGAGAAAUCAAAUCAGUCGCAACACUGGCAUUUAAACACAGUGAUUAUUUUUUUAAUGAAUCCGUCAAGUUGACCAGAGAGGAGCAUAAAUGUUAGGGUUUUGGGUGAAGGAGGCCGUUCAGAAUGCGACCGAAUUCGCCGUGCUGCAGCGGACAGGACAAAAGGCAAGACGGGAAACCAGGAUCGAACGGCUUACACCGUUAACUGUGCUGUUUUUAUGUUUUUGGACUGCAGGAGUUACCCAGGGCACCCAGAAGAUGGACACAAGCACAGGGAGAAGAUACAAACCACACACACACACUGGGGAUGGGGUUCCAGCCCCCGGCAUUGGUGGUAUGAGGACGGAUCAUGUCAGAAUUCAAGAGGAAAAAAGGAAACCUUCAGUCACACAUGAAAGUUCUGUUAUUCACCGAAAACAAAUGAGGCAAAACGGGUGGUUGUAGCACAUGCCUGACAGACGGCUGCGAGGAGGCAUUCGAAGAGCAGCUUGACAUUUAACGUUUCCCAUGAGGCAUCCUGAUGAAAGGGUGCUAGUUCGACGCGGGGCUUGUGGUGGAGCGCGGCCUUAUCGCAAAGGAGGAGGUGCUGAACUUCUGGGGCGAUCCUGGUGGCACCGCUGUCCUGUUACUUCCUGUCUGGCAGAGAUGCGCACGGGCGAACUUGCACGUCUGAUGCUGCGGGGGGCGCUGGUUUACCGCUUACUCGCCCCUGUGUUUCUCACCUGCAAACAUACACACACAUGCUGCCGAAAUGCAGGUAACCUCUAGAGUACUGUCUGUCUCACACAUACACACCCACGCACUCAUGAUCAUACAUUGAUGGGCACAUACUCUCAGACAAACAUUCACGUCUAUUAGCCGUCCGUUUGGCUCAGUCUGGGCCUGGCAGAAUCGGGCCUUUUUAUGGUAUUGUUAAGCUUGCGUUUGUCACGGACCAUGGACAGACUGUUUUCCGGAGGGAAUCAAAACAGAAAAAAACCUUUUAGCUUUAGUGAGAAAAAAAGUCAGAAAGUGAUGUUGGUUGCUCGCUUGAACACAGCAAGUGUAGCUCCUGGAAUGUUACUACAUAGGAGAGCAAACUGAUAACAAGACACAAGGGCAUUAUGGGGUGGGUAUGACUUACCUGCAGAGCUGCACUGAUUCUGUACAAGUUAAACACACCGUGCCGUCUCUGAUGCGUGCAUCUUGGAAGUAGCAACCCAGAUCUGAGUAGGCAAAGCAGCUUUGGCCUAACCAGGGAUCAAGGCACACCUCCGACAACAGAAGUCAGCAGUCGCUCAGAAAAAGAGAAAAGUCAGGCUCACUCAGACCGUGUUAUUAUUACGAUGGAAAUCACAUAAAAUCCAUAAUCUCAGCCACGAAGGCAGACAACCAAUUCAGUUUGAGUUUGAGAUUACCUAAGUGUUAAAGAGGUUGUAUUAAAGGCAAACAUGUUGCAGAAGGCUCAUCAGAAUCUUGCAGCAUCUUCAUUGUCCUGCUAGAUGAUGCGGUUCUCCUGUGCAUCCAGAACAGUCUCAGGGCAGAAAGGGAUUUACUUCACUUGAAGGAUUGUAAUCUGGGAAUCACAGUGUUUUAAUCUGAAUUUUCAUUAAAUUUUUCUGUUUCUAUAAUUUUCCAGACCACGGAUCUCCCUGCAAUUUCGGCCGAAUCCUUAGAUUAAGUAAAAAUGGAAUAACCCACAGCUGGCCCAAUCUCCUGGGCUGUCCCAAGCUCACUUGGUUUAAGGAAAGGGGAUAGAUCUGUGGUUUAAUGUCAGGUGCCUGGGCUGGAUUUCCCUGCGUGGGCCCUUUACGGUUGUCGGUUUGUGUUUAACUGGGCUAGGCCUCUGGGCCUGUCUUCAGAAGGUUGUUGGUUCAAAUCCUGUGCUUGGCAGAGUAGCCAUGUUUUUGUUGGACCCUUGAGCAAGGCAUUUAUCCCCCUGAAAAAUGCUCCUGGAGUGUCGGACAAAUGGAUGACCCUGUGUUCGGACCUCAGGCUUCACUUUCACCUCGAUAUGUGUGCAUGAUGGGAUAUGCUGCGAAACCCAUUCCAAUGUAUUUGUACAGACAGCAAGUAAAGCUUCCU